rnacentral:rRNA from 1 species
GGUUCGAUCCUGCUCAGAUUGAACGCUGGCGGGAUGCUUUACACAUGCAAGUCGAACGGCAGCACGGACUUCGGUCUGGUGGCGAGGCAAACGAAAAGAGUAAUGUAUCGAACUGCCGGUAGCGGGGGAUAACUACGAAGGAAAGCGGUAGCUAAUACCGCAUACGUCUCUUCGGGAAAGCGGGACCUUUCGCCUCGCACUAUUAGAGCGGCCGAUAUCGGAUUAGCUAGUUGGUGGGGAACGCUCACCAAGGCGACGAUCCAGUUGGCUGAUAUAUGACCAGCCACACUGGGACUGAGACACGCCCAGACCCUACGGAGGCAGCAGUGGGGAAUUUUGGACAAUGGGGAAAUCCUGAUCCAGCCAUCCCGCGUGUGCGAGUUAGCCUUCGGGUUGUAAAGCACUUUUUGGCAGAAAGAAAUGGUACCGGAUAAUACCCCGUGCAACUGACGGUACCUGCAGAAUCAAGCACCGGCUAACUAUGCCAGCCGCGCAUGAUGUAGGCAAGCGUUAAUCGGAAUUAUCAGCGCAAGCGGCGCAGGCGGUUCGGAAAGAAAGAUGUGAAAAUCAGAGCUUAACUGGAACUGCAUUUUUAACUACCGAGCUAGAGUGUAGAGGGAGGUGGAAUUCCGCGUGUAGCAGUGAAAUGCGUAGAUAUGCGAGAACACCCUUGAUGGUGAAGGCAGCCUCCUGGGAUAACAUCGACGCCUUCCUGAUAAAUUAUGAAGCGUGGGGAGCAAAUAGACGAUACCUGUAGUUCAUGCCCCAAACGAUGUCAACUAGCUGUUGGGGCCUUCGCCUUGGUAGCGCAGCUAACGCGUGAAGUUGACCGCCUGGGGAGUACGGUCGCAAAAUUAAAACCAAAGGAAUUGACGGGGAUCCGCACAAGCGGUGGAUGAUGUGGAUUAAUUCGAUGCAACGCGAAAAACCUUACCAACCCUUGACAUGUCUGGAAUCCCGAAGAGAUUUGGGAGGCCGUUGAAACCGGAACACAGGUGCUGCAUGGCUGUCGUCAGCUCGUGUCGUGAGAUGCUGGGUUAAGUCCCGCAACGAGCGCAACCCUUGUCAUUAGUUGCUACGAAAGGGCACUCAAGGAGAUCGCCGGUGACAAACCGGAGGAAGGUGGGGAUGACGCCGGAGCCCUUCAUACGCCCUUAUGGGUGGCUUCACAUCGCCAUACAAUGGUCGGGACAGAGGGUCGCCAACCCGCGAGGGGAGCCAAUCCCAGAAACCCGAUCGUAUCCGGAUUCGUGCUCCAUGGUAACUCGACUGCGUGAAGGCUCGGAAUCGCUAGCAAUUACAGAUCACCGUAUAUCGGCGGCGGAAUACGUUCCCGGGUCUUGUACACACCGCCCAUCACACCAUGUAUGGGUUUUACCAGAAGUAGUUAGCCUAACCGUAAGGAGGGCGAUUACCACGGUAUCUAUGACUGGGGUGGAAGUCGUAACAAGGCAG